AUGAAGAACGCAGUGAAAUGCGAUACGUAAUGUGAAUUGCAGAAUUCAGUGAAUCAUCGAGUCUUUGAACGCACAUUGCGCCCCCUGGUAUUCCGGGGGGCAUGCCUGUCCGAGCGUCAUUGCUGCCCUCAAGCACGGCUUGUGUGUUGGGCCUCCGUCCUCCUCCCGGGGGACGGGCCCGAAAGGCAGCGGCGGCACCGCGUCCGGUCCUCGAGCGUAUGGGGCUUCGUCACCCGCUCUUGUAGGCCCGGCCGGCGCUUGCCGACACAUCAAUCUUUUUUCCAGGUUGACCUCGGAUCAGGUAGGGAUACCCGCUGAACUUAAGCAUAUCAAUAAGCGGAGGA
rnacentral:misc_RNA from 1 species